rnacentral:rRNA from 1 species
CACGUAGGGGGCAAGCGUUAUCCGGAUUUACUGGGUGUAAAGGGAGCGUAGACGGCGAUGCAAGCCAGAUGUGAAAGCCCGGGGCUCAACCCCGGGACUGCAUUUGGAACUGUGUGGCUGGAGUGUCGGAGAGGCAAGUGGAAUUCCUAGUGUAGCGGUGAAAUGCGUAGAUAUUAGGAGGAACACCAGUGGCGAAGGCGGCUUGCUGGACGAUGACUGACGUUGAGGCUCGAAAGCGUGGGGAGCAAACAGG